rnacentral:siRNA from 1 species
GGUUUAUGCUCGAAGAUUGCGGUC